rnacentral:misc_RNA from 13 species
AUUUUCGAUUGUUUUAGUUCCUCAUCGUUUCCUUACUUACUCGAUGAGGCGGAAGGCAUCCGACGGGCUUAAAACCCCGGCGAGACGGUAUAUUUCGCCCCAAGCGCAAAGGGUCGUCAGAACCUGGUCUGUAAGGAGUCGCGCUCGCUCCGAGAAGGGCUUCGGCCCGGACCGGCUGCGCCGCGUCUCUCGCACCAGCCGGGCCUGCCGGCGACAUAUUCCAUGGCGUGAUCCGAUUCGAGGACACUACCAGGUUGGGAGUUCGGCUGGGGCGGUACAUCUGUCAAAUAAUAACGCAGGUGUCCUAAGGUCAGCUCAGCGAGGACAGAAACCUGGUGUAGAGCAAAAGGGCAAAAGCUGGCUUGUUCCCGAUGCUCAGUGCGCAAAGGGACUGCGAAAGCACGGCCCAUCGAUCCUGUGGUCUAAAUAGUCUCACCUCCAAUGAAUCUACUUUUUAAUAUUGUUAUACUUCCUUAAGUAUAUAAAAUGUAUUUUCGUUUCUGUAAAUAUAGUUCUUUUUACAUUCAUUUUUACAAGUAAAAUUAUUGAUUUGUUUUGUGACAGGUG